rnacentral:misc_RNA from 1 species
UUUCCGUAGGUGAACCUGCGGAAGGAUCAUUAAAGUUAUAGUCCCCCGGCCCUCUGGGCUGGGGUCUUCUAUACCACCCUUUGUUUAUUACACUGGCUCCGGCCGGCUCGUGUCUGCCAGAGGACCUAAACUCUGUUUGUAUAUGAAGUCUGAGUACUAUAUAAUAGUUAAAACUUUCAACAACGGAUCUCUUGGUUCUG